ACCAGCGCCUGACUCUCUGUCCAGCGUCUCUCCCUCUUCCUCUCCGCUACUCUUCUCCCAUUCCUCUCUCACUGCCGCUCUACCAGCCGUGCCUCCGCCGCUCCUCCUUGUGGUCGCCGGCAACUGGAGCACCGAUUCACCUAGAUUUGCCCUAUAUUCUUAGGCAUCAUAACUAUUCUCAGUUCAAAACUUGAAACCCUAACCUACAGUUUCAAAUUCGACUCUCUCCAAUUCUCUCUCUAUAUAUAUAGGUAGGUGUGUAUAUAUAUAUAUAUUAUAUUUGUGAUGGGUAGGGUAUAUAAUUAAGGGAUUUUUUCUGAACCCACCAACACCGUCCAACGCCCUACAAUGGCAUCGGAGAACGAAGACAAACCCACCCCCUCCUCCAUCAAUCGACGAUUGACUUUACCCCAGGUAUGUCUAUAUUUCGUCCUCUCUGUCUUUGUCUAUGUCCCUCUCUCUCUAUCUCUCUCUCUCUCUGUGCAUCUUCUUUCAUUCGCACACUUUGACACAAACCCAGCCCUAUGUGGGUGUGGGUGUGGUUCGUAGGCGGUGAUCAAGAUUUUUGGGGGUAAUGGAAUUGAGUUUUUCCAUGGUGGAAGAGAUGGGUUUUUGUGACCCAACUUGGCUUCUUAUUUUCGAGUUCUUCAAGCAAUUCCUAACAUUUGCACAAGAUUUGAUCUGAUUGUCACUCUCUGUUUUUGCCCUCUGUGAACUGAAACCAAUGUUAGAUUUUCACUUUCUCAUGUCUAUGCUCAGUGAUAAUCUUUUUCUUGUAUAGUAUUAGCCUUUAGAUUUUUUGGGUUGUGUUUGUUUUUUUCCUGGGGUUGAUUCUAGUUUUGAGCUUUGAUCUCAUAGUCACUCUGUUUUGGCCUCUGUGAGCUGAAAACAAGGUUAGAUUUUCACUUUGUCAUGUCUUUGUUCAAUGAUAAUAUUGUUCUUGUCUAGUAUUAGCCUUUAGAAUUUGAGGGUUGUGUUUUUUUUUUUUACUAGGUUAAUUCUAGUUUUGAGUUUUAUCUCAUAGUCACUCUGUUUAGGCCUCUGUGAGCUGAAAACAAGGUUAGAUUUUCACUUUCUCAUGUCUAUGCUCAUUGAGAAUAUUGUUUAUUUGUAAUAUUAGCCUUUAGAUUUUGUGGGUUCUGUUUCUUUUUUUUUGGGGGGGGUUAAUUCAAGUUUUGGGUUUGAUUUUGUAUGCACAUAUGUGAAAUUUUAGGAUCUAAUUAUCUGAAAAAUUUAUUCAUUUAAGGUCGUGUCUGUGUGUGUACUUUUUGAUGAUCUGAGCAAGUAUUGAUCCAUAUAUCAGUGUAUAAAAUUUGCUAAUUUGAAAUCAAGUAAGUUUGAAUCAGAGCAACUAGAGCUUUGGUUAUAUAAUUCUUGCUUGAAGAGCACAAACUUCGGUCUCUAAUACAGUCAAAGAGGAAGAAGAUGAAUCACAUUUUUAUUGGGUUGAUCAUCUGAGUUUUUUGGUCUUGAUAGAGCCUGUAAGGAAAUGUGAUGUUUUAAGCAACAUAUGAAGCAUAUUCACAUAAAAUUCCAUUUUUGUUAGAGCAUCUACAAUCUUUCACUAAUUCCUUUUUCACGCUGCAUUUCUUUAGCUUCAUUGCUUGAGGCGCACACUAUUUUUUAGGUAUGUCAAUUGCAUGCAAUUAUGAUUUGGAUUAUGAGCACUUGUAGUAAUGUUUGAUCUGAUUUUGUUAGGGAUUUUUGAUCAAUAUCCCCUCGUGCUGUGGCAUUCUUCGAUUGAAUCUUACUAUGUAGUUUACAAGGAGAUUUAAGUAUAGAACAUGGACUGCCAUUGCAUUGACAUAUAUGUGAGAAGAAAGUUGGGGCUUCAGGUUCCUUGAUUCUGAUCGUUGACGUUAGGCGCUGAUUAUGUAACAUGUGCAUAUCAUUAGAAUUAUUUCUCCUUUGACUAUGACUUGGCGGUAGCAAUCGAUGCAAGUAAAAAUCACCAGGUGGCUGGCAUGCUUUUCCUUGUAUGAGAGAAAGCACGGAAAACCCCCUCCAUCCUGUAACAUAGGGGAAAAAACUUUCCCCUGAAUCAUGAAAAUUAUAUAUAUUACUGAUGAUAUUUUUUCUUUGGGGCAUUCCUCUCCUGUUUUGGAUUUCUUGGUGCAUACUUUUACUUGCUAAUGGUUCUAUUAUGUAAUCAUAUGUAUUAUGUGUCCUAAUCUCUAAACUUACACACUGGGCGUUGUAUAUUCUUACACACCUUUUUCACCAUCAAGUAUUUUUGUAGCAUUGGCAUUGCGUUUCGAUGUGUCUAGGGGGAAAGAAAGCCAGUAUUUCAAGAGCGCUUUUCUAGGAUAUACCAUUGGUUUAGUCCUUGCUAUUAUUGUCAUGAAUUGGUUUCAAGCUGCACAGAACCUGAACAUCCAAGUGACAAAUUGAUGAAGAACAAUUGUGAAAGGACCUUUAGCCCAACAAUAGUGUCUCUAGCAUCAGCAUCAGCACCACAAUUGUUAUUAAGAUUUUCUUUAAUUUGGAUUUUAAUUGUUGGUUUGGAUAGUAUAUGUAUUUGUUGGAUUAUACUAUAUUUAUGGAUUUUUAUUUUGUUUGAUAUGUAUGGUUAAUAGUUAAGUUUUGUAUGUGGUUGAAAAUUGAAUGGUACAGGUUGUAAAGAAAUAUUUUUAUUGAA